AACGUUGGCGGCGUGGAUUAGGCAUGCAAGUCGCACGAGAAACCAAUUAGCUUGCUAAGAGGUGGACAGUGGCGCAAGGGAGAGUAACGCGUGGUUACUUGCCCUCGAGACCGGGAUAGUGUUGGGAAACUGGCAGUAAUACCGGAUAACAUCUUCGGAUCAAAUGGUGUGAUUCCGCUCGAGGAUAGGACCGCGUACUAUUAGCUUGUUGGUGAGGUAACGGCUCACCAAGGCUGCGAUGGUUACCGGGUGUGAGAGCAUGGCCCGGCUCACUGGGACUGAGACACUGCCCAGACACCUACGGGUGGCUGCAGUCGAGAAUCUUCGGCAAUGGACGAAAGUCUGACCGAGCGACGCCGCGUGCGGGAUGAAGGCCCUCGGGUUGUAAACCGCUGUCAGUAGUUAGGAAGUCC
rnacentral:rRNA from 1 species